rnacentral:lncRNA from 1 species
CUUUAAACUCUGCACAGACACACAAAAGAGAAGCAGUAAAUUCAGCCAUGCUUGGAACCUCGUAGGCUUGUAACUAAAAUUGAUUUUUUUGUCAAGUGACUCGUCAAUGAAUUGUGAAAUAAAAAGACUCUGGUCUUCAGAUUACCAGUUACUUGCAUGACUCUGCGCAAACCAUUUCUCCUCUCUGAGCCUCUGUUUCUCCAAAUGCAGGAAUGAGGGAAUGGAGCUUAACGCCCCGUCUCCAGCAGGCAGACUGAAAUCUUUCCUGGAACCUUUUUUUUUUUUUCAGCUAUAUGGCUCCCCCAAGUGGUCAAUAGCAUGAACUGCAGCUCGCGUUUCCGGCAGUGACUUAAUAAUCGGGCUCGUGCACUGGUCAUUCACGACCGGUCAGACAUCGUGAGGAGGAAUUGAGACACAGGACUCAGGGUUGCUACAGUAAGUGCCGAUCCAGGGUUCAACCCCAGGCCGUCUGCGCGCCGAGUCAGGAAUCCCGACAACUAUGCCGGUCAGGAUAAAUCACCGACCACCAGUAAGAACGAUGAACGGCCAGGGCAGAGAAAGCUUCUGCAGUGUCGGCAGUUGGUGUGGAGAGGUUAGGAAUGGUCACCUGCAUGUGGAAAAGGUGCCUGGGGGCUCGGCUGAGUCGAAGAACCCUGCUACCACCCCAGGUCAGAAAGGAUUCCAGAAGCCAUCGAGGCCCCUGGGAAACCAGCGCCUCCCCGCACACCGUCCUCUGCACCACCUGGUGCAGGCCUCUUAAAUGCAGCACGACUGCGGAAGCAUCGUCCACCUCUGGCAGUGUCCUUGCAUCAGCGUCUUCAGUGGCACAAUUUGAAAAUGCACAGAAAUCAGCUCGCUUUGCUUGCUUACUUCCUGGUAGUUUUGUGGAAUGUUUUUGUUUUUGAGGUUCCACGAAGUGAUGGAGAUCGAGCAACCAAAAAGUGGCUGAGCCCGGUAGAAUCCCGAUCUUCUGCACCCACGUCCCACUCAGCCCUCUCUCAUGCGCUCCCGUGUCCCCAAGUUUCCAGGUCGUUCCCACAGCCGCCUGCUCUCACGUGCUUCUCGGAGUCUGCAGGGGGCUGGCUGCUGCUGUGUUCUGUCUGGAGUUCUUAGGUGUCGUCAGCGGAAGACGGAAGCUGGCGUGGGCUCACAGCAUCUUG